rnacentral:rRNA from 1 species
GGAAGGCAGCAGGCACGCAAAUUACCCACUCCCGGAACGGGGAGGUAGUGACAAAAAAUAACGAUACGGGACUCGAUAUGAGGCCUCGUAAUCGGAAUGAGUACACUCUAAAUCCUUUAACAAAAAUCUAUUGGAGGGCAAGUCUGGUGCCAGCAGCCGCGGUAAUUCCAGCUCCAAUAGCGUAUAUUAAAGUUGUUGCGGUUAAAAAGCUCGUAGUUGGUUCUGCGUCCCGCGCUGUCGGUACACCGUUUGUCGGUGACACUGGCAUGACGCGGGAUGUCCUGUCGGUGGCGGCGGAGACCAUAUCGCCGUCGGAUAACACCGCGGCGUGUUGGCCUUCUGUCGCCGGCUAUAUCCUACCGCGGUGCUCUUCACUGAGUGUCGAGGUAGGCCGACACGUUUACUUUGAACAAAUUAGAGUGCUUAAAGCAGGCAAAAAUCUCUGCCAGAAUAGUGGUGCAUGGAAUAAUGGAACAGGACCUUGGUUCUAUUCUGUUGGUCUCCGGAACACAAGGUAAUGAUCAAUGUGGACAGGCGGGGGCAUUCGUAUUGCGGCGUUAGAGGUGAAAUUCUUGGAUCGUCGCAAGACGCACUAGAGCGAAAGCAAUUGCCAAGUAUGUCUUAAUUGAUCAAGAACGAAAGUUAGAGGUUCGAAGGCGAUCAGAUACCGCCCUAGUUCUAACCAUAAACGAUGCCAGCCAGCGAUCCGCCGAUGUUCCUUUGAUGACUCGGCGGGGAGCUUUCCCCGGGAAACCAAAGCUUUUGGGUUCCGGGGGAAGUAUGGUUGCAAAGCUGAAACUUAAAGGAAUUGACGGAAGGGCACCACCAGAAGUGGAGCCUGCGGCUUAAUUUGACUCAACACGGGAAACCUCACCAGGUCAGGACAUUGGAAUGAUUGACAGAUUGAUAGCUCUUUCUUGAUUCAGUGGGUAGUGGUGCAUGGCCGUUCUU